rnacentral:rRNA from 1 species
UACAGAGGUCUCAAGCGUUUGUUCGGAUUCAUUGGGCGUAAAGGGUGCGUAGGCGGCGCGGUAAGUCGGGUGUGAAAAUUUCGAGGCUUAACUUCGAAACUGCAUUCGAUACUGCCGUGCUUGAGGACUGGAGAGGAGACUGGAAUUUACGGUGUAGCGGUGAAAUGCGUAGAUAUCGAUAAGGAAGACCAGUGGCGAAGGCGGGUCUCUGGACAGUUCCUGACGCUGAGGCACGAAGGCCAGGGGAGCAAACGGG